GGCUGAGUGGCGGAAUUGGUAUACGCGCUAGACUCAAAAUCUGGUGUCCUCUGGACUUAUGGGUUCGAGUCCCAUCUCAGCUACCA
rnacentral:tRNA from 1 species